rfam:Danio rerio chromosome 14 genomic contig CTG1748, GRCz11 reference primary assembly.
GCCGGCAGCUAGCUCUCUGCAACUCUCACAUGGUCGCCCACUGAAGCUAAGCAGGGCUGCGCCCGGUCAGUACCUGGAUGGGAGACCACUAUGGAAAGCUGGGUUGCUGCCGGAA